UACGUAGGGGGCAAGCGUUGUCCGGAUUUAUUGGGCGUAAAGAGCGUGUAGGCGGCCUUACAGGUCAGCUGUGAAAACUCGAGGCUCAACCUCGAGACGUCGGUUGAAACCGUAUGGCUAGAGUCCGGAAGAGGAGAGUGGAAUUCCCGGUGUAGCGGUGAAAUGCGCAGAUAUCGGGAAGAACACCCGUGGCGAAGGCGGCGCUCUGGACCGAGACUGACGCUGAGGCGCGAAAGCGUGAGGAGCAAACAGG
rnacentral:rRNA from 1 species